UGUGCUUCAAGACACGUCUGUCUUCUGCAGU
rnacentral:piRNA from 1 species